rnacentral:rRNA from 1 species
GAUGAACGCUGGCGGCGUGCCUAAUACAUGCAAGUCGAGCGAACGGACGAGAAGCUUGCUUUUCUGAUGUUAGCGGCGGACGGGUGAGUAACACGUGGAUAACCUGCCUAUAAGACUGGGAUAACUUCGGGAAACCGGAGCUAAUACCGGAUAAUAUUUUGAACCGCAUGGUUCAAAAGUGAAAGACGGUCUUGCUGUCACUUAUAGAUGGAUCCGCGCUGCAUUAGCUAGUUGGUAAGGUAACGGCUUACCAAGGCAACGAUGCAUAGCCGACCUGAGAGGGUGAUCGGCCACACUGGAACUGAGACACGGUCCAGACUCCUACGGGAGGCAGCAGUAGGGAAUCUUCCGCAAAGGGCGAAAGCCUGACGGAGCAACGCCGCGUGAGUGAUGAAGGUCUUCGGAUCGUAAAACUCUGUUAUUAGGGAAGAACAUAUGUGUAAGUAACUGUGCACAUCUUGACGGUACCUAAUCAGAAAGCCACGGCUAACUACGUG